rnacentral:rRNA from 1 species
AACGAACGCUGGCGGCGUGCCUAACACAUGCAAGUCGUGCGAGAAAGUUCCUUCGGGAGCGAGUAAAGCGGCGCACGGGUGAGUAACACGUAGGUAACCUGCCCCCCAGUCUGGAACAACUAGAGGAAACUCUAGCUAAUGCCGGAUGAGACCACGAUCCCUUCGGGGUUGCGGCCAAAGAUGGCCUCUACUUGUAAGCUAUCGCUGAGGGAUGGGCCUGCGGGCCAUUAGCUCGUUGGUGAGGUAACGGCUCACCAAGGCUGUGAUGGCUAGCUGGUCUGAGAGGAUGACCAGCCACACUGGGACUGAGACACGGCCCAGACUCCUACGGGAGGCAGCAGUGGGAAUAUUGCGCAAUGGGCGAAAGCCUGACGCAGCGACGCCGCGUGGGUGAUGAAGGCCU